GUUUUUGUAGUUGAUUUACAACGGUGGUUUUUCGGACCUCGGGUCUCGUUAGAGCAAGAACU
rnacentral:tRNA from 1 species